AUGGCAACUUACAAGCCAAGGAACAUCCUGAUUACUGGGGCUGCUGGGUUUAUUGCAUCUCAUGUUACAAACAGACUCAUUCGGAACUACCCGAGUUACAAGAUUGUCGCUCUCGACAAGCUCGAUUACUGCUCGAACUUAAAAAACCUUCAUCCAUCUAAGUCAUCUCCGAACUUUAAGUUUGUGGAAGGGGACAUUGGUAGUGCUGAUCUUGUUAAUUACCUCCUCUUUACGGAGUCUAUCGACACGAUAAUGCAUUUUGCGGCCCAAACUCAUGUCGAUAACUCGUUCGGGAAUAGCUUUGAGUUCACUAAAAACAAUAUCUAUGGCACUCAUGUCUUGCUUGAAGCUUGCAAAGUCACUGGUCAAAUCAGGAGGUUCAUCCAUGUGAGUACUGAUGAGGUUUACGGGGAAACAGAUGAGGAUGCUGUUGUGGGAAACCAUGAGGCUUCUCAACUUCUCCCGUCGAACCCGUACUCCGCUACAAAAGCCGGUGCUGAAAUGCUUGUGAUGGCAUAUGGUAGAUCAUAUGGCUUGCCUGUGAUAACGACUCGGGGAAACAACGUUUACGGCCCGAACCAGUUCCCUGAGAAACUAAUUCCGAAGUUCAUCCUCUUAGCGAUGAGGGGAAUGGUUCUUCCAAUUCACGGGGACGGUUCGAAUGUGAGGAGUUAUUUGUAUUGUGAGGAUGUGGCUGAGGCCUUUGAAGUCAUACUUCAUAAGGGAGAAGUUGGACAUGUUUAUAACAUCGGGACAAAGAAAGAAAGGAGAGUGAUCGAUGUAGCCAAAGAUAUAUGCAAACUAUUCUUGAUGGAUCCAGAGAAAAGUAUUGAGUUUGUCGAGAAUCGACCAUUCAAUGACCAAAGGUAUUUUCUCGACGAUCAGAAACUAAAGAACUUGGGAUGGUCCGAACGAGUCAUAUGGGAAGAGGGGCUGAAAAAGACAAUAGAUUGGUACACCAAACAUCCUAAUUGGUGGGGUGAUGUCUCCGGUGCAUUGCUCCCUCACCCGAGAAUGCUGAUGAUACCGGGCGGACGGCACUUUGAUUUCGAAGAACUGAACCGUAUGUCACACGUAAAUGGUCCUAAAUUGCCAAAUGGCAAAUCCAAACUUUAAAUGCAAUGGUUCUCCUUCAAAACCAUCACUACGUCCACCAUUGAUCUCUGUUGAUCAAGCCAUGAAAGCACAUCUUCUAAUUAUGGUGAUCAAUUUUCACGACUGCAGAUAA